rnacentral:rRNA from 1 species
UCUUGGUCAUUUAGAGGAAGUAAAAGUCGUAACAAGGUUUCCGUAGGUGGCACGUUUGCCUGCGCAUAGCCCCCGCAGCGACACUAAACAACUGCGCCAGUCGCCCCUGAUUUGGGGGCCGGCAACGCCAUCACUGUGCGCUGGGAAACCCACUCCAGGGCUGACCAGCAGCUUUGGGAGGCCUCGCUCGAGGUUUCCCGAGUCCACAGAUCAGACGAUAGCGGCCACUCCGGUGGUUGAGAUAUGACCGGCCUCGGCUGUCACCAGCUAGAGACUUCGCGGAACCUGCGGAAGGAUCAUUA